rnacentral:rRNA from 1 species
GACGAACGCUGGCGGCGUGCUUAACACAUGCAAGUCGAACGGUAAGGCCCUUCGGGGUACACGAGUGGCGAACGGGUGAGUAACACGUGGGUGAUCUGCCCUGCACUUCGGGAUAAGCCUGGGAAACUGGGUCUAAUACCGGAUAGGACCACUGCCUGCAUGGGUGGUGGUGGAAAGCUUUUGCGGUGUGGGAUGGGCCCGCGGCCUAUCAGCUUGUUGGUGGGGUGAUGGCCUACCAAGGCGACGACGGGUAGCCGGCCUGAGAGGGUGACCGGCCACACUGGGACUGAGAUACGGCCCAGACUCCUACGGGAGGCAGCAGUGGGGAAUAUUGCACAAUGGGCGCAAGCCUGAUGCAGCGACGCCGCGUGAGGGAUGACGGCCUUCGGGUUGUAAACCUCUUUCAGCACCGACGAAGCGCAAGUGACGGUAGGUGCAGAAGAAGGACCGGUCAACUACGUGCCAGCCGCCGCAGUA